GCUCAGAAUGAACGUUGGCGGCGUGGAUUAGGCAUGCAAGUCGUGCGAGAAACAAUUAGCUUGCUAAGAGGUGGACAGCGGCGAAAGGGAGAGUAACGCGUGGUUACGUGCCCCGAGGUCCAGGAUAGCGUUGGGAAACCGGCGGUAAUACUGGAUGAUAUCUUCGGAUCAAAGGUGUGAUUCCGCCUUGGGAUCGGACCGCGUACUAUUAGCUUGUUGGUGGGGUAAUGGCCUACCAAGGCUGUGAUGGUUACCGGGUGUGAGAGCAUGGCCCGGCUCACUGGGACUGAGACACUGCCCAGACACCUACGGGUGGCUGCAGUCGAGAAUCUUCGGCAAUGGACGAAAGUCUGACCGAGCGACGCCGCGUGCGGGAUGAAGGCCCUCGGGUUGUAAACCGCUGUCAGUUGGAAGGAAGGGCCUGUGCAGAGCAGGUCUUGACCGAUCUUCAGAGGAAGGACGGGCUAAGUUCGUGCCAGCAGCCGCGGUAAGACGAACCGUCCAAACGUUAUUCGGUAUCACUGGGCUUAAAGCGUGCGUAGGCGGCCUGGAAGGUGAGAUGUGAAAGCCCACGGCUCAACCGUGGAAUUGCGUUUCAAACCACCAGGCUUGAGGAAGACAGGGGUGUUGGGAACUUAUGGUGGAGCGGUGAAAUGCGUUGAUAUCAUAGGGAACACCGGUGGCGAAGGCGCAACACUGGGUCUUUUCUGACGCUGAGGCACGAAAGCUAGGGUAGCGAACGGGAUUAGAUACCCCGGUAGUCCUAGCCGUAAACGAUGAGCACUGGGUUGACGGG
rnacentral:rRNA from 1 species